rnacentral:rRNA from 1 species
AGCGGCGGACGGGUGAGUAAUGCCUGGGAAUAUGCCCUGAUGUGGGGGAUAACUAUUGGAAACGAUAGCUAAUACCGCAUAAUCUCUUCGGAGCAAAGAGGGGGACCUUCGGGCCUCUCGCGUCAGGAUUAGCCCAGGCGGGAUUAGCUUGUUGGUGAGGUAAUGGCUCACCAAGGCAACGAUCCCUAGCUGGUCUGAGAGGAUGAUCAGCCACACUGGAACUGAGACACGGUCCAGACUCCUACGGGAGGCAGCAGUGGGGAAUAUUGCACAAUGGGGGAAACCCUGAUGCAGCCAUGCCGCGUGUGUGAAGAAGGCCUUCGGGUUGUAAAGCACUUUCAGUAGGGAGGAAGGUAGUGUAGUUAACACCUGCACUAUUUGACGUUACCUACAGAAGAAGCACCGGCUAACUCCGUGCCAGCAGCCGCGGUAAUACGGAGGGUGCGAGCGUUAAUCGGAAUUACUGGGCGUAAAGCGCAUGCGGGCGGCCUGUUAAGUCAGAUGUGAAAGCCCGGGGCUUAACCUCGGAAUUGCAUUUGAAACUGGCAGG